AUUGAACGCUGGCGGCAGGCCUAACACAUGCAAGUCGAGCGAGAGGCGGACGGGUGAGUGAUAUCUGGGAAACUGCCUGAUGGAGGGGGAUAACUACUGGAAACAGUAUAUAUUACCGCAUACCACAAGAUGUGCCCCGAUGGGGUUAGCGAGUAGGUGGGGUAACGGCUCACACAGGCGACGAUCCCUAGCGGGUCUGAGAGGAUGACCAGCCACACUGGAACGGAGACACGGUCCAGACUCCUACGUGAGGCAGCAGUGGGGAAUAUUGCACAAUGGGCGCAAGCCUGAUGCAGCCAUGCCGCGUGUAUGAAGAAGGCCUUCGGGUUGUAAAGUACUUUCAGCGGGGAGGCGUUACCCGCAGAAGAAGCACCGGCUAACUCCGUGCCAGCAGCCGCGGUAAUUC
rnacentral:rRNA from 1 species